UACAGAGGGUGCAAGCGUUACUCGGAAUUACUGGGCGUAAAGCGUGCGUAGACGGUUACAUAAGUCAGAUGUGAAAGCCCCGGGCUCAACCUGGGAAUUGCAUUUGAGACUGUGUAGCUAGGGUGCGGAAGAGGGAAGCGGAAUUUCCGGUGUAGCGGUGAAAUGCGUAGAUAUCAGGAGGAACACCGGUGGCGAAGGCAGCUCGCUGGGACGGUACUGACGCUGAGGCGCGAAAGCGUGGGGAGCAAACAGG
rnacentral:rRNA from 1 species